CCGCGCUGCCUGGCGCCUCCGGGGUCGCCCUGGCCUGCUGCUUCGUGGCGGCGGCCGUGGCCCUGCGCUGGUCCGGGCGCGGGGCGGCGCGGGGCGCGGUGGUCCGGGCGCGACAGAGGCAGCGAGCGGGCCUGGAGGACAUGGACAGGGCGGCGCAGCGCUUCCGGCUCCAGAACCCAGACCUGGACUCAGAGGCACUGCUAGCCCUGCCCCUGCCUCAGCUGGUGCAGAAGUUACACAGUAGAGAGCUGUCCCCUGAGGCCGUGCUCUUCACCUAUGUGGGAAAGGCCUGGGAAGUGAACAAAGGGACCAACUGUGUGACCUCCUAUCUGGCUGACUGUGAGACUCAGCUGUCUCAGGCCCCAAGGCAAGGCCUGCUCUAUGGCGUCCCUGUGAGCCUCAAGGAGUGCUUCACCUACAAGGGCCAGGACUCCACGCUGGGCUUGAUCCUGAAUGAAGGGGUGCCGGCGGAGUGUGACAGCGUAGUGGUGCAUGUGCUGAAGCUGCAGGGUGCCGUGCCCUUCGUGCACACCAAUGUUCCCCAGUCCAUGUUCAGCUAUGACUGCAGUAACCCCCUCUUUGGCCAGACCGUGAACCCAUGGAAGUCCUCCAAAAGCCCAGGGGGCUCCUCAGGGGGUGAAGGGGCCCUCAUCGGGUCUGGAGGCUCCCCCCUGGGCUUAGGCACUGAUAUAGGAGGCAGCAUCCGCUUCCCCUCCUCCUUCUGCGGCAUCUGCGGCCUCAAGCCCACAGGGAACCGCCUCAGGUAAGGUGGGUGGAGGGCGCUUCUGGGCCCCUCGCUCUGUGACCUUGGCCUAGCUUCCAACCUCUCUGGGCUCCAGGCGGGGAUUCGGUCUCCGGGGUUUUGCUGGGAGGAAGCAUUACAGUACCACUGGCCGGGCGUGGGUCCUAGUUUCGAAAGCGGUGAGUGUUCAGAGCUGCGCUGUGGGUGUGGGGAUGGCAGCGGGUGGCCAUUUCCUGUUUCCAGCAUCUUAUGUUUCUUAUCCAGCAAGAGUGGCCUGAAGGGCUGUGUCUAUGGACAGGAGGCAGUGCGUCUCUCCGUGGGCCCCAUGGCCCGGGACGUGGAGAGCCUGGCACUGUGCCUGCGAGCCCUGCUGUGCGAGGACAUGUUCCGCUUGGACCCCACUGUGCCUCCCUUGCCCUUCAGAGAAGAGGUCUACACCAGCUCUCAGCCCCUGCGUGUGGGGUACUAUGAGACUGACAACUAUACCAUGCCCUCCCCGGCCAUGAGGCGGGCCGUGCUGGAGACCAAACAGAGCCUUGAGGCUGCGGGGCACACGCUGGUUCCCUUCUUGCCAAGCAACAUACCCCAUGCUCUGGAGACCCUGUCAACAGGUGGGCUCUUCAGUGAUGGUGGCCACACCUUCCUACAGAACUU
rnacentral:sRNA from 1 species